UACGUAGGUGGCAAGCGUUGUCCGGAUUUAUUGGGUUUAAAGGGUGCGUAGGCGGUUCUAUAAGUCAGUGGUGAAAUCCGGCAGCUCAACUGUCGAUGUGCCAUUGAUACUGCAGAACUUGAGUACAGACGAGGUAGGCGGAAUUGACGGUGUAGCGGUGAAAUGCUUAGAUAUCGUCAAGAACACCGAUAGCGAAGGCAGCUUACUAGGCUGUAACUGACGCUGAGGCUCGAAAGCGUGGGGAUCAAACAGG
rnacentral:rRNA from 1 species